GCUGGCAUUUUUCUAGGUGAGCAAGAUAAGACAGGUCAGCUAGCACGAAGGUUACAAAGUGAUCUCCCCUUUAUAAAAAAAAAUGUUGUGUCUAAAUAACAGAAUGCACAUAAUUUACAACGGAGGGUCAGGUAGCUGGAGGGUAGAAAAAGAAGAAGGAAAAGGAAUAAUGGAAACACGAAUCACACCCACAUGAUUGG
rnacentral:lncRNA from 1 species